AGAGUUUGAUCAUGGCUCAGAUUGAACGCUGGCGGCAGGCCUAACACAUGCAAGUCGAGCGGUAACACAGAGGAGCUUGCUCCUUGGGUGACGAGCGGCGGACGGGUGAGUAAUGCCUGGGGAUCUGCCCGAUAGAGGGGGAUAACUACGGGAAACUGUAGCUAAUACCGCAUAACGUCUACGGACCAAAGUGGGGGCUCUUCGGACCUCAUGCUAUCGGAUGAACCCAGGUGGGAUUAGCUAGUUGGUGAGGUAAUGGCUCACCAAGGCGACGAUCUCUAACUGGUUUGAGAGAAUGACCAGUCACACUGGAACUGAGACACGGUCCAGACUCCUACGGGAGGCAGCAGUGGGGAAUAUUGCACAAUGGGCGCAAGCCUGAUGCAGCCAUGCCGCGUGUGUGAAGAAGGCCUUCGGGUUGUAAAGCACUUUCAGCGGGGAGGAAGGGUCACUAGUUAAUACCUAGUGGCAUAGACGUUACUCGCAGAAGAAGCACCGGCUAACUCCGUGCCAGCAGCCGCGGUAAUACGGAGGGUGCAAGCGUUAAUCGGAAUUACUGGGCGUAAAGCGCACGCAGGCGGUUUGUUAAGUCAGAUGUGAAAUCCCCGAGCUCAACUUGGGAACUGCAUUUGAAACUGGCAAGCUAGAGUCUUGUAGAGGGGGGUAGAAUUCCAGGUGUAGCGGUGAAAUGCGUAGAGAUCUGGAGGAAUACCGGUGGCGAAGGCGGCCCCCUGGACAAAGACUGACGCUCAGGUGCGAAAGCGUGGGGAGCAAACAGGAUUAGAUACCCCGGUAGUCCAA
rnacentral:rRNA from 1 species